AACGAACGCUAUCGGUAUGCUUAACACAUGCAAGUCGGACGGACUAAUUAGGGCUUGCUCCAAUUAGUUAGUGGCAGAAGGGUGAGUAACACGUGGGAAUCUGCCCAUCAGUACGGAAUAACUUUUAGAAAUAAAAGCUAAUACCGUAUAUUCUCUACAGAGGAAAGAUUUAUCGCUGAUGGAUGAGCCCGCGUCAGAUUAGGUAGUUGGUGAGGUAACGGCUCACCAAGCCGACGAUCUGUAGCUGGUCUGAGAGGAUGAUCAGCCACACUGGGACUGAGACAAGUCCCAGACUCCUACGGGAGGAAGCAGUUGGGAAUAUUGAACAAUGGGCGAGAGACUGAGCUAUCAAUACCGAGUGAGUGAUAAAGGCCCGAGGGUUGUAAAGCUCUUUUAGCAAGGAAGAUAAUGACGUUACUUGCAGAGAAAGCCCCGGCUAACUCCGUG
rnacentral:rRNA from 1 species